GACGAACGCUGGCGGCAGGCCUAACACAUGCAAGUCGAGCGAGGACUUCGGUCCUAGCGGCGGACGGGUGAGUAACGCGUGGGAACGUGCCCUUUGCUACGGAAUAGCCCUGGGAAACUGGGAGUAAUACCGUAUGUGCCCUUCGGGGGAAAGAUUUAUCGGCAAAGGAUCGGCCCGCGUUGGAUUAGGUAGUUGGUGGGGUAAUGGCCUACCAAGCCGACGAUCCAUAGCUGGUUUGAGAGGAUGAUCAGCCACACUGGGACUGAGACACGGCCCAGACUCCUACGGGAGGCAGCAGUGGGGAAUCUUAGACAAUGGGCGCAAGCCUGAUCUAGCCAUGCCGCGUGAGCGAUGAAGGCCCUAGGGUUGUAAAGCUCUUUCAGUGGGGAAGAUAAUGACGGUACCCACAGAAGAAGCCCCGGCUAACUCCGUGCCAGCCGCCGCAGUAAAAC
rnacentral:rRNA from 1 species